ACUGUUUAUUAUUUAGUUUUUAAUAUUAAUUUUAAAAGAGAUUAAGGGCUUUAAAUGUUUUUUACUUAUUAUAUCACAGAAAACACAAUUAAGGCUAUAUUGAUUAUUCAUUUUGAUAUACUCCAUAUCAUUAUAUAUGUAUUUAUGUGUAUACUUAAAAGAAAAUGGUGCCCAACUGUUUUGUCUUUUUCUGUUUAGGUAUAUCUAGAUGUUGAUGACAUACAGACAUGGAUGAAUCCUAUUAGCCGCAACGAAGUGCUAAAGCUGAAAGCAUCUACCUACUGGGCUUAAACUUUUACCUGAAGAUCCUAUACUGUGUGAUUAUAUCUCAGUCUACACUGUGAUGCGUCUCGAUCUUGCGGACCGAAUGGCAAACAAUCGUCGACGCUCAAAACACGUCAUUUCAUAUCCUUCCCGAUCCUCUAACGGUGCUUUUACCCUCAAGCACCGGUUAUCGUUCACGUCGAACGUCGAACAAGCGACGACACUUGCGACGAAGGAGCUGGCGAGUAAACUAACCCACAGACACAGCUCACUCAGUUUCUCGCCGGAUCUUCUUAGUGGUUCGCGCUUCGCGUGUCCAAUCCGGUCGGAGAUUCUGCGAAGAACUGCUCUUACUAGCUUAUGAUUACUGGAAACACUUACGAAACGAGAAUAAAUAUACUCAUACGGACCGUCACACCGACUCAGAUCAAUAAUAAAACCAAGACUCUAAGGCGGCGUGAUCGUAACCGUCUCCAGUAUUUCGGUGAGCUCCGGUUCGGUCCGGUCCGGUAUGGGUGUCGGUAUGAGUACCGGCGGAGCGGAAGCCGGUUCAGCUAUGUUCGGCAACAGCUUGGCUUUGUGAGCGCACGCUAUACACUGACGGGACGUCGAGCGAGAGAAAGGGACGGCGGAACCGCCGGAUCCCAACGUUAAAGCUCGGCAUCUACGGCGCGUCGUUAUCUCAAAGCACCUACAAUGAGUCGUAGAGCGCUGACAAGCGACUAAAGCACUCACCUGUAUGAGUUAGUUAGACAUUAGCUCUAAACGGCCACAAAAUCACCACCUUAAGAGAAAAUAAUUGUUAUUAAUUAUAAUUUGUAAUCAUCUCAGAUUUAAUUUUACUAAUAAGCUUAGUUUCACUAUUGUAUCAUGCAUUUUUACGUUGUUUGCAGGUAUUAUUGUUUUAAAAUUAUAUAUUUGAUUACUUCAUUCAUAUAACAUAAUAAUUAUAGAACAUAUUUAUUUUGUAGCUUUAUAUGUUUAAAAACAAACAAACUAUUGUUCAGCAUAAUUAUCAGAAGCAACACAAUUCAACUGUUAAUAAUUAGUUAGAAUUUUUUACUUUAGGCCGCGACAUAACAGCAUCGAGAAAAUUAUUAUUUAUUAAUACGCUUUUAUUAGCUUCAGACGUAUUGUAUGUUUGUAACAGAAUCUUUUAUUUACAAUAAAAUCAUUUUUUUAGACUAUU